rnacentral:rRNA from 1 species
AAUGAACGCUGGCGGCAGGCCUAACACAUGCAAGUCGAACGGAUCCUUCGGGAUUAGUGGCGGACGGGUGAGUAACGCGUGGGAACAUACCCAAAGGUACGGAAAAGCCUCGGGAAACUGGGAGUAAUACCGUAUGUGCUCGAAAGAGGAAAGAUUUAUCGCCUUUGGAUUGGCCCGCGUUGGAUUAGGUAGUUGGUGGGGUAAUGGCCUACCAAGCCGACGAUCCAUAGCUGGUUUGAGAGGAUGAUCAGCCACACUGGGACUGAGACACGGCCCAGACUCCUACGGGAGGCAGCAGUGGGGAAUCUUAGACAAUGGGGGAAACCCUGAUCUAGCCAUGCCGCGUGAUCGAUGAAGGCCUUAGGGUUGCAAAGAUCUUUCAGGUGGGAAGAUAAUGACUGUACCACCAGAAGAAGCCCCGGCUAACUCCGUGCCAGCAGCCGCCGUAA